rnacentral:misc_RNA from 1 species
CACUUAGGAUGCCUGGAACUUGC